AGUUAUCAGCGUAGGGUACAGAGGUAAGAUGUUCUAUCUUUCAGACCUUUUACUUCACGUAAUUGGAUUUGGCUAAGUAUUAGCCGCCUCAGUCAUUUUAUGACUGGGACGUUUUUUA
rnacentral:other from 1 species